UGGGGAAUAUUGGACAAUGGGCGAAAGCCUGAUCCAGCCAUGCCGCGUGAGUGAUGAAGGCCCUAGGGUUGUAAAGCUCUUUCACCGGUGAAGAUAAUGACGGUAACCGGAGAAGAAGCCCCGGCUAACUUCGUGCCAGCAGCCGCGGUAAUACGAAGGGGGCUAGCGUUGUUCGGAAUUACUGGGCGUAAAGCGCACGUAGGCGGAUUGGUCAGUUAGGGGUGAAAUCCCGGGGCUCAACCCCGGAACUGCCUUUAAUACUGCCAAUCUAGAGUCCGAGAGAGGUGAGUGGAAUUCCGAGUGUAGAGGUGAAAUUCGUAGAUAUUCGGAGGAACACCAGUGGCGAAGGCGGCUCACUGGCUCGGUACUGACGCUGAGGUGCGAAAGCGUGGGGAGCAAACA
rnacentral:rRNA from 1 species